rnacentral:rRNA from 1 species
GCCGAACCGUGCAAACGUUGUUCGGAAUCACUGGGCUUAAAGGGCGCGUAGGCGGGCCAGCCAGUCUGUGGUGAAAGCCUCCAGCUUAACUGGAGAAGUGCCGUGGAUACUGCUGGCCUCGAGGAGGAUAGGGGCAUCUGGAACGGUCGGUGGAGCGGUGAAAUGCGUUGAUAUCGACCGGAACUCCGGUGGCGAAGGCGAGGUGCUGGGUCCUUUCUGACGCUGAUGCGCGAAAGCCAGGGGAGCAAACGGG